UGUUUUUGAUCGAAGGUUCAGUAAACAUUUCCAUUUCCUUCCAGUGCAUAUCUCUCCAAUCGGAACCCACGAACGACAAACACAAAUCCACUAAAUGUCUUCCUUCUUUCUUCCUCUCGCUAGCCUUUCUGCUUUCUUUCUCUUUAAAUUCCAUCUCUCUCCAAAAUUCCAUUUCUCUCUCCUCCUUCAAACCACUUUAUCUCUCCAGAAGUCCAUCGCCACUGCCUUUUCUCUAAUGGUUGAAUUUGGGUAUGCAUAAACCCUUCCAUCUGUUAUUUGUAGGGUUUUGAAAAGGAGGAUGAGCAUGAUGUUGUUUGGUUUUGGCUGGAGAAAGGGAAGCCACAUGAAUGCCCAGUCUGCACACAUUAGUUUGUGAACCCGAAUGGGAAGAAGAAAGAAGAAAGCCAACUUUUCAACCGAUAAGCUAAAAUCAAUCCCCUCGAUCUCCUCAUCGGUGACGGCGGCGACCAGCAGGUUCACCUUUUUAAUUUCAUUUUAAUUUUUUCUCUUUUAAGUCGAUUUAAGAAAUGAAGAAUUUGAAAACCUUAGGCACUCCAAACGGUUGACCAAAUUUAAACUGAAAAUUGAGCCCAUUUGAGAUAGUUAAUUAGUGAAGAAUGCUUACUUUUGUUACCUAGAGGUGUUUAUAAAGAAUCUGAUGUAACAUAUAGUAUUAACAAGAAGCCUAUCACAACAUCCCACAAUCUAUCAUUAUCUCUGUAUACCCUUUUUUCCUUGAUAUUGUGUGUCCUGCAAAACUUAUUUUUUGUGAAGAUUAAUUCAAAAUCAUGCUAUGGAUAUACAUGGGAAAUUGCAAACAAGUUUCCAUCUAUCCCAGUGCGUUUGGAACCAAGCUGAAUUUGAUAUCAGUAAGCUAAAGACAAGAAUUAGUCCAUUUCCAUCUCAAAAAGCAGCAGAUGACAAUUAAACCACCAUGCAUCAGAGAGUUUUGGAGGUUCUGCAAUUUCUGGUACCGAGCAUCGUAUAAGGCUAUGAAGUCACCAUUACAUCUCUUAUCUAAGAGCCAAUAUUUAAGUUGACACUAGAAGAAUAGUGCAAGUGAAUGAACUUAUGAGGACUGGCUUAUAGAUGGAUGACUUCCUACUCUGUAUGACUACCAUGUUUAGUAUUAUUGUCGAUUCUUCAUUAACUCAUUCAUGGUAAAUCAAUUUGAAAUUUCAUUCAUCUCCUGCAACCUAUUGGUUUGUCCAUUUCAUUGUAAAAACUUGCUCAAAGAGCAGACUGUCAAUGUGAUUUGAGUUGGUUGUACAUAGUAUCAUCUUUUUUGUAAAUAACACUUUAAAAUCAUCUCUUUCAGUCUAAACAUA